rnacentral:rRNA from 1 species
UUCCGUAGGUGAACCUGCGGAGGGAUCAUUACCGAGUUUACAACUCCCAAACCCCUGUGAACAUACCUAUACGUUGCCUCGGCGGAUCAGCCCGCGCCCCGUAAAAAGGGACGGCCCGCCCGAGGACCCCUAAACUCUGUUUUUAGUGGAACUUCUGAGUAAAACAAACAAAUGAAUCAAAACUUUCAACAACGGAUCUCUUGGUUCUGGCAUCGAUGAAGAACGCAGCAAAAUGCGAUAAGUAAUGUGAAUUGCAGAAUUCAGUGAAUCAUCGAAUCUUUGAACGCACAUUGCGCCCGCCAGUAUUCUGGCGGGCAUGCCUGUUCGAGCGUCAUUUCAACCCUCAAGCUCAGCUUGGUGUUGGGACUCGCGGUAACCCGCGUUCCCCAAAUCGAUUGGCGGUCACGUCGAGCUUCCAUAGCGUAGUAAUCAUACACCUCGUUACUGGUAAUCGUCGCGGCCACGCCGUAAAACCCCAACUUCUGAAUGUUGACCUCGGAUCAGGUAGGAAUACCCGCUGAACUUAAGCAUAUCAAUAAGCGGAGGAA